GCCGAUGUGGUGAAAUUGGUAGACACGCCAUCUUGAGGGGGUGGUGGGGAGACCCGUGCUGGUUCGACUCCAGUCAUCGGCACCA
rnacentral:tRNA from 1 species